CUGGAGUCAGGUCAGGAACGCCUUAGACAUUUGCUGAUUGUCCUGUGGAUGAAGCAAAGCUCCAGAUAGGCAUGGAGAAAGGCAUUGGGCCCAGGCCCAGGGGGUGCUACCUCUGGCCCUAUUUGCCCAAAAGCCCACUGUCCACUGGUGGGCUUUCCCCAGCCUAGCCCAUCAGGAACAACUUCCUGAUGGUCUCAGGACGUGCUUACCCCAGGAAUUCUCAACCUUUACACUCACAGUCCUGGUGGAUGCUAUGUGGGGCACAGGGAGAAAAGACAUCAAUGACCCGGCUGUGAGGGCUACGACCUGCAGUCUGCCAGGCCCAGGGCAUCUGUUGAGUUUACAAAGCUCCUAUUGAUGGAAGAUGGGAUUUGUUCAUCUAGAAAGCUGUGGUGGACCCAUGAGGUGGUGGGAGCUGGAGGAUGCCUGGGAAAUGGCCUGAGGAUCCGAGACUUCUGAAAUGCUCCACCUGUCAUCUCUAUGGGCGUACCACACCAUUAAACCCAGAGAGAUAACUGUGUCAUCUUUCUCAAGGCAAGAAGGCUUAGUAGGGCA
ensembl:lncRNA